AGUAUAUCAGGCUAAUCAGUAUAUCAGUAGAUCAGUAUAUCAGGCUAAUCAGUAUAUCAGUAUAUCAGUAUAUCAGGCUAAUCAGUAUAUCAGGCUAAUCAGUAUAUCAGUAUAUCAGUAUAUCAGGCUAAUCAGUAUAUCAGUAUAUCAGGCUAAUCAGUAGAUCAGUAUAUCAGGCUAAUCAGUAUAUCAGUAGAUCAGUAUAUCAGUAUAUCAGGCUAAUCAGUAUAUCAGUGUAUCAGGCUAAUCAGUAUAUCAAUAUAUCAGGCUAAUCAGUAGAUCAGUAUAUCAGGCUAAUCAGUAUAUCAGUAUAUCAGGCUAAUCAGUAUAUCAGUAUAUCAAGCUAAUCAGUAUAUCAGUAUAUCAGGCUAAUCAGUAUAUCAGUAUAUCAGUAUAUCAGGCUAAUCAGUAUAUCAGUGUAUUAGGCUAAUCAGUAUAUCAGUAUAUCAGUAUAUCAGGCUAAUCAGUGUAUC
ensembl:lncRNA